rnacentral:rRNA from 1 species
GAUGAACGCUGGCGGCGUGCCUAAUACAUGCAAGCCGAGCGAACAGACGAGGAGCUUGCUCCUCUUACGUUAGCGGCGGACGGGUGAGUAACACGUGGAUAACCUACCUAUAAGACUGGGAUAACUUCGGGAAACCGGAGCUAAUACCGGAUAAUAUAUUGAACCGCAUGGUUCAAUAGUGAAAGACGGUUUUGCUGUCACUUAUAGAUGGAUCCGCGUCGCAUUAGCUAGUUGGUAAGGUAACGGCUUACCAAGGCAACGAUGCGUAGCUGAUCUGAGAGGGUGAUCGGCCACACUGGAACUGAGACACGGUCCAGACUCCUACGGGAGGCAGCAGUAGGGAAUCUUCCGCAAUGGGCGAAAGCUUGACGGAGCAACGCCGCGUGAGUGAUGAAGGUCUUCGGAUCGUAAAACUCUUUUAUUAGGGAAGAACAAAUGUGUAAGUAACUAUGCACGUCUUGACGGUACCUAAUCAGAAAGCAACGGCUAACUACGUG